ACGGCCAAAUAACGGCAAAACACCGGUUCCCGUACGAUCACUGAAGUUAAGCAACGUCAAGCCUGGCCAGUACGUAGAUGGAGGACCUCUUGGGAAUAUUAAGUACAGCA